rnacentral:tRNA from 1 species
GGUUCCAUGGUGUAAUGGUUAGCACUCUGGACUCUGAAUCCAGCAAUUUCAGCUCAAAUCUUAGUAAAACCU